rnacentral:rRNA from 1 species
GCGGUGAAAUGCGUAGAUAUCGGGAGGAACACCCGUGGCGAAAGCGGCUCUCUGGACCACUACUGACGCUGAGGCGCGAAAGCUAGGGGAGCAAACAGGAUUAGAUACCCUGGUAGUCCUAGCCCUAAACGAUGGAUGUUUGGUGUGGCGGGUACCCAAUCCCGCCGUGCCGGAGCUAACGCGUUAAACAUCCCGCCUGGGGAGUACGGUCGCAAGGCUGAAACUCAAAUGAAUUGACGG